rnacentral:rRNA from 1 species
CAGAGGUCCCAAGCGUUGUUCGGAUUCACUGGGCGUAAAGGGUGCGUAGGCGGUCGGGUAAGUCUGAUGUGAAAUCUCACAGCUUAACUGUGAAACUGCAUUGGAUACUAUUCGGCUUGAGAGUUGGAGGGGGGACUGGAAUUCUUGGUGUAGCAGUGAAAUGCGUAGAUAUCAAGAGGAACACCAGUGGCGAAGGCGAGUCCCUGGACAACUUCUGACGCUGAGGCACGAAAGCUAGGGGAGCAAACAGGAUUAGAUACCCUGGUAGUCCUAGCCGUAAACGGUGCUUAUUUGCUGUAAAAGGAAUCGACCCCUUUUGUGGCGUAGCAAACGCGUUAAAUAAGCCGCCUGGGAAGUACGGUCGCAAGAUUA